rnacentral:rRNA from 1 species
GCAAGUCGAGGGGCAGCACGUCUUCGGAUGGUGGCGACCGGCGCACGGGUGCGUAACGCGUAUAGAACUUACCUUUUACAGAGGGAUAGCCUUUAGAAAUGAAGAUUAAUACCUCAUAGUAUUAUAACUUGGCAUCGAGUUUUAAUUAAAGAUUUAUCGGUAAAAGAUGGCUAUGCGUCCUAUUAGUUAGAUGGUAAGGUAACGGCUUACCAUGGCGAUGAUAGGUAGGGGUCCUGAGAGGGAGAUC